rnacentral:rRNA from 1 species
GAUGAACGCUGGCGGCGUGUCUAAUACAUGCAAGUCGAGCGAACGGACGAGAAGCUUGCUUCUCUGAUGUUAGCGGCGGACGGGUGAGUAACACGUGGAUAACCUACCUAUAAGACUGUGAUAACUUCGGGAAACCGUAGCUAAUACCGGAUAAUAUUUUGAACCGCAUGGUUCAAAAGUGAAAGACGGUCUUGCUGUCACGUAUAGAUGGAUCCGCUCUGCAUUAGCUAGUUGGUAAGGUAACGGCUUACCAAGGCAACGAUGCAUAGCCGACCUGAGAGGGUGAUCGGCCACACUAGAACUGAGACACGGUCCAGACUCCUACGGGAGGCAGCAGUAGGGAAUCUUCCGCAAUGGGCGACAGCCUGACGGAGCAACCCCGCGUGAGUGAUGCAGGUCUUCGGAUCGUAACACUCUGUUAUUAGGGACGAACAUAUGUGUAAGUAACUGUGCACAUCUCGACGGUUCCUAAUCAGAAAGCCACGGCUAACUACGUG